AUUUGAAUUUGCAUUUGAAGGUGUUAUUUGGGAGUAGAGCUUCUCAAGUCUGGCAGUGAAGGAAGUGAAACCACCCUCAAAACCCUUUGGCAUCACACAGAUGCUAUUAUGUGCUGCUCUUUAAAGGCAUUGCCAGUUUUCACCUUUGCUAACCAGGCUGGUCUUGACAUGCUUGAGACAACCUUGGUCGCCCUUCAAGACAUUACUUUGGAGAAGAUAUUUGAUGA